rnacentral:lncRNA from 13 species
AUGGCCAAGGAAGUUGCACAGAACUUCUCCAACAUCCCCUCCCAAAUUGAUAUGGAACCUUCAAAAACACAUGGAGCAACUGCAAAAAGAAAUGGCUGAGGAUAUACUAAAAAUGUCUGAGUUCAACAAAGCCAACAACUGCUUCAUGUGUGCCACUGAUAAAGAACCUGGAUGUGGCACAAAGACAGCCUGGAUUGAAUGUUUUGCAUGCCAACGGUGGUUCCAAACUGGAAGUGCAGUCUUUGAUGUUGAAAAUGUAUGCUAUACCCCAUCCACACUGAAGAGGCUCUGAAAUGUACAUCAACCAGGGAUAAAGAGAAAGUUAACACUGUGAAAUGUUUCAAACUUAUUUGAAGUUAAAGUAUCUGACAUGUUGGAAAAGAUUAAAGGGCUACAAUUUGUUUAAUUUGUCAAUAUUCAAUUUUUAUUCAUAGAUUUUUUGGCCACCAUUACUGUGGUUACAUGUUCAGUAUAUGUAUUGACCAGCAAGCCCAUAACGAUCUACCUCACUAGCUCACUCUCCAUCCCUGCUUUGAACAAUUAAUGGCAUGACUCUCAUACUUUGCCCUUUUCCUUUAUGGUUGAUAUUAACGAAGAAAGGAGAUAUUAUAUGUCUCUCUCCUAUUGUGUACCACUGUUAAAUACUGUGGAAAAAUAAAAAAAAACAGGGAAAAUAAGUACUUAGAACUACCAAUCAUUAUAGAUAAAUACAAAAAAAAGGGUAAACACAACACUGGACUGAACCCCCUAAUUGUCAAACUAAUAUUAAUGUACAACAACAUAGAAGAGACAUAACUAGAGGUUAUGCAAUAUGGGUGUAUAUCCACUACACGCUUCUUAGGUGUGUAAUUGACAUGACCAAGGAUCUAUUGAAA